CCUACGGGAGGCAGCAGUGAGGAAUAUUGGUCAAUGGACGAGAGUCUGAACCAGCCAAGUAGCGUGAAGGAUGACUGCCCUAUGGGUUGUAAACUUCUUUUAUAUGGGAAUAAAAUGUUCCACGUGUGGGAUUUUGUAUGUACCAUAUGAAUAAGGAUCGGCUAACUCCGUGCCAGCAGCCGCGGUACUACGGAGGAUCCGAGCGUUAUCCGGAUUUAUUGGGUUUAAAGGGAGCGUAGGUGGAUUGUUAAGUCAGUUGUGAAAGUUUGCGGCUCAACCGUAAAAUUGCAGUUGAAACUGGCAGUCUUGAGUACAGUAGAGGUGGGCGGAAUUCGUGGUGUAGCGGUGAAAUGCUUAGAUAUCACGAAGAACUCCGAUGGCGAAGGCAGUUCACUGGACUGCAACUGACACUGAGGCUCGAAAGUGUGGGUAUCAAACAGGAUUAGAUACCCGAGUAGUC
rnacentral:rRNA from 1 species